rnacentral:rRNA from 1 species
GACGAACGCUGGCGGCGUGCUUAACACAUGCAAGUCGAACGGAAAGGCCCCUUCGGGGGUACUCGAGUGGCGAACGGGUGAGUAACACGGGAGUAACCUGCCCUUGACUUCGGGAUAACUUCAGGAAACUGGGGCUAAUACCGGGUAGGAAUCCUUGCUGCAUGGUGGGGGUUGGAAAGCUUCGGCGGUUUUGGAUGGACUCGCGGCUUAUCAGCUUGUUGGUGGGGUAGUGGCUUACCAAGGCUUUGACGGGUAGCCGGCCUGAGAGGGCGACCGGCCACAUUGGGACUGAGAUACGGCCCAGACUCCUACGGGAGGCAGCAGUGGGGAAUAUUGCACAAUGGGCGGAAGCCUGAUGCAGCAACGCCGCGUGCGGGAUGACGGCCUUCGGGUUGUAAACCGCUUUCAGCAGGGGCGAAGCUUGUGGUGACGGUACCUGCAGAAGAAGCACCGGCUAACUACGUG